UACGUAGGGGGCAAGCGUUGUCCGGAAUCAUUGGGCGUAAAGAGCGCGUAGGCGGCCCUGUAAGUCCGCUGUGAAAGUCAAGGGCUCAACCCUUGGAUGCCGGUGGAUACUGCAGGGCUAGAGUCCGGAAGAGGCGAGUGGAAUUCCUGGUGUAGCGGUGAAAUGCGUAGAGAUUUGGAGGAACACCAGUGGCGAAGGCGACUUUCUGGUCUGUAACUGACACUGAGGCGCGAAAGCGUGGGGAGCGAACAGG
rnacentral:rRNA from 1 species